rnacentral:tRNA from 1 species
GGCGGAGUAGCUCAGGGGUUAGAGCACCGGCUUCAUAAGCCGUAGGUCGGGGGUUCAAAUCCCCCCUCCGCUA